rnacentral:rRNA from 1 species
UGGGGGAUAUUGCACAAUGGGGGAAACCCUGAUGCAGCGACGCCGCGUGAGUGAAGAAGUAUUUCGGUAUGUAAAGCUCUAUCAGCAGGGAAGAAACUGACAGUACCUGAGUAAGAAGCCCCGGCUAACUACGUGCCAGCAGCCGCGGUAAUACGUAGGGGGCAAGCGUUAUCCGGAUUUACUGGGUGUAAAGGGAGCGUAGACGGCUUUGCAAGUCUGAAGUGAAAGCCCGGGGCCCAACCCCGGGACUGCUUUGGAAACUGUGUAGCUAGAGUACAGGAGGGGCAGGCGGAAUUCCUGGUGUAGCGGUGAAAUGCGUAGAUAUUAGGAGGAACACCAGUGGCGAAGGCGGCUUUCUGGACUGUAACUGACGUUGAGGCGCGAAAGCGUGGGGAGCAAACAGGAUUAGAUACCC